GCCGAUAUAGCUCAGCUGGUUAGAGCGGGGGAUUCAUAAACCCCAGGUCGGUGGUUCGAGUCCACCUAUCGGCA
rnacentral:tRNA from 1 species